rnacentral:lncRNA from 1 species
AUAAAUUGAGUACACCAUAUGAUUUAAGUACACCCUAAUAUUUUAAUUAAAAUUUAAAUUUAACUAAGUACGUCCUAUUUAACUACCAAAAAUACCCCUGAUACAUCAUAAUACACUCUAUCACACAACACCCUAAUACCAAUCCUAACGGAGAUUACUAUUACUUUACAAUCAUUGGUUGCAUCUUGAAUUCCAGCCACACCAU